rnacentral:rRNA from 1 species
GACGAACGCUGGCGGCGUGCUUAACACAUGCAAGUCGAACGGAAAGGCCCUGCUUUUGUGGGGUGCUCGAGUGGCGAACGGGUGAGUAACACGUGAGUAACCUGCCCUUGACUUUGGGAUAACUUCAGGAAACUGGGGCUAAUACCGGAUAGGAGCUCCUGCUGCAUGGUGGUGGUUGGAAAGUUUCGGCGGUUGGGGAUGGACUCGCGGCUUAUCAGCUUGUUGGUGGGGUAGUGGCUUACCAAGGCUUUGACGGGUAGCCGGCCUGAGAGGGUGACCGGCGACAUUGGGACUGAGAUACGGACCAGACUCCUACGGGAGGCAGCAGUGGGGAAUAUUGCACAAUGGGCGGAAGCCUGAUGAAGAAACGCCGCGUGCGGGAUGAAGGCCUUCGGGUUGUAAACCGCUGUCGCCUGUGACGAAGCGUGAGUGACGGUAAUGGGUAAAGAAGCACCGGCUAACUACGUG